AAGAUAUUGGAAACAUAAACAGUAAAUGUGAGCUUCAGUAUUCUUAAUACUAGAUCAUUCUCUGUAUACUACAUUUGGCCAUACAUUUUCCAAAAUUAUUAUUGAUAUUUGAUGCUUAAUUAAGACCAUUUAAGUCACCUUAUUUUUUCAAAAACUUCAAAAAUACUCAUAUCCUACUUUCCUUAAAAGUAACGUCUCCUCUGGAAAAAGUUAUGAUCCAUCUGGACCCUUUCCUGUCUAACCUACUGCAGGGAACUUCUUUAGCAGUGAGAUUGGACUGGGUGAUCUCCAGAGGUGCCUUCCAACCGCUGCGAUUCCAUGAUUCAGUGAUUACGAUUCUUCCUACAUAUAGAGAUGAGCAUUUUCGGCGUCUGUAAUACUGCUGAUCUGUUCUGUCUAAACCUAAGCUGUAUCUUUGAGAAGAGUCUUUGGCCAUUUGGUCCCUUUCAAAGGAAGACUUGAAGGUAUAAUAACACUGUAAUGCAUGUCUGAAUUUGUCCUGUGGCCUAUUCCUAAAAAUAAGAUUUUGAAUUAACUUCAAGCUUUCCUCCUCAAAUGGUGUGCUGCAUCAACUUUUGUUCAAAGGGUGCUGCACUUCAUUUCAGGAAACACAAUUUGAUUGGGCUCCAGGACUUCUGAUUUGUUCUCCUCAACCACUGGACAUCACAAAGGGCUGAAAGCCAAUCCUAAUUUUUUGCUGAAGAUUCAGUGGGGCAACAUAGAUUAAUUCCUUUUGCCUCUGCUACCAGAACAUCUUGCAAAAGGAGACUAAAGGAAUGGAUGAAGAUAGAAUGAGCACUAGAUUCCCACAAACAUUGUCCACGGAGAUUCUGAAGUCCUAAACUGGAAGAGAGGAGGAUAUCUUGUGUGGGGCUCCAACCAGGUGUGAAGUUGUUUGCAUUCCUAAGCACUGUGUUAAUAGAGAGCUAAACAUUUCUCUGAUAUGGCAAAGAAGUAUCCUGCACUGAUGCCAUGGACAAUGGAAAUUUUUUUCAAACUAACUGCAUGAUUAAACUGUACUUGUUUUCAUUUGAUUGUAUGACCUUAAUACGCUUAAUACGCUGAAGUAUUUCUUUGCAAGUUGUUAAACUCCUGUUCUGUACUUUAUAUGCAGUUAUGUUCACCUGUUAGAAAGAUACCCAAUAUUUAUGAUUCUGUAGACAUCAGCAGUAGAGCUAGCAGAGAAGUCUCUUACUCAGAGCUGAAUUAAUAACCUGGCGUAGCAUCGGGGCCAUUGUGCUGGUGGAAGUUAUAUAUUUCAGAUAAGACACGUUGUUUUGCAUAACUGAACUAGUGAAUAGUAUUAAUGUUACCAGGACAUUGGAAUAAUUCAGUGAUGAGAAAAAAUAUUCCAUGAUCUCUAAUCCUACAUUAGAGGAAUCAGAUAUGUCUGUAGUCUCAGUAGAAGAAAAUCAGUAUUUCUGUAAUUUCAACAAAGGUAUUCCUGUGUUCAGUCAUAGAAGUACCUCAGUCUUAGGAACACCAAGGCAAAUCCAGUGUUCUUACUUCUUGCCUAGAAAUAAACAAACAAAACCAAACAACAACACAACAUUUGCAACAUUUGUGAUUUCAACUGGAUGAAAUAAUCUUGCUUUUCCCAUCCUAAACUGCCAAAACCAUUUGCAAUCCAUUCUGACAAAUGCUAAGUAUUCUUUAGGUACAUCUGCAAAUUAUACUUGGAAGUAAGUUAACAUACAGAAAUAGUUUGAUACUUCUGUUCAGCCAAAGAGCACAAGAAUUUCUUCAAAUGACCUUUUCCAAAAAUCGUUUGAUCUUACCUUCUUUUUUUUUUUUUUUUUUUCCAUCACAGUGGAUUGUGGUUCCAUAAUCAUUCUGAUUCUUUUUCUCAUAUACUAAAUUUUAAUGUGUACCUAAAUGUAUAGCUUCAAAAGUGCAAUAAUCUUUUCUCUGUGAUCAAGCUCACACAAGCACAGAUGAUGUAGUCUUUUUUCAAAUGUAUCUAGGGGAAAUCCAGUGUCACCUCUUUCUCACUGGAGCCCCACUACCUUUUUGUUCUCUAUUUUUAUUGAUACAAACAUUUCACUUUUAGUUAACAAUUAUAAAUCAUAAUAAAGUUUUCAGUCUCUGCUUUUAUCUCAUGUUUUGUUUUGUUUUUUUUGGGGGGGGGUGCUUAUUCAUGAAUUUGGAUCUGAAAGAAUUAUCUAUGCUCUUUCUUAUUUUCUUAGAAAGCAAAUCAAAAUUAAGUUGAUCACUUACAGCAGUUUAAAGCCUUCUUAAUGAUUCUUCUCUUUAAGGAAUUAGAGUUCUCAGAUCAACUGAGUCCACAAACUAUUUUCCUGAGUUUGUGAAACCCUUAAUAAUCUUAUGGUUUUACUUCUCUUCAUCUAAUUUAAAAAUAUUGAUAAAAGUAUUUUCUUUGGCUAGCUUUUCUAGGAAAAAAAAUCAUAAAAUAGCAAAUAAAUCAUAGCCAGUAGAAACACAUCUUGAUUUUUCAGAAAGCGUUUGAUGAAAUCUACUGCCAAUUGCAUUCAGGAAUAUCAGUUUCUUCCCAGUAUUAGUAGCAUGUUGUACUAGAAUCACACAACUCUCAGUACUAAUAAUCUUUCUUGUAGCACUGAAGUUUGUCAUCCAUUUCUGACUUCAUCCCUAGGGGACCUCAACAGUCUCCCACCAUCAGCACAGUAAAAACUUCCUACUUUUCAUACUUACCCCAGGUCAUAUCCAAAGCUGCUGUGUGUACAUGCCUCAGGAAACUGGUGGCUGGAUUUAUGUGAGUAAUUCAUUUCCAGUUCAGUGACUACCAAAAGUGGGGAAGAUACUGCACAAAAAUAAAUAAAUAAAAUAAAAAAAUCGAUGUAGUACCAGGAUUUUGCAUUUUGAUUAUAUUUAAGAAAAAAAAAUCAAGCAGCAAAUCAACAUUUCAAAUGACAACUUAGAAUAUUAAAAUAUUUAGGUUUUAGCAUGUCACUAUAAAAAUUUCAGCUAAAAAGUUAUCUGUUUUUUAAAUUUUA
ensembl:lncRNA